rnacentral:lncRNA from 1 species
GUUCUUGUUGCAGGUGGUGGGCACGGUGGAGCAGGUGGGAGUGUCAGACGCGUGGGCGUCGUGGUGGCCAAGGCUGAGGCGUGCGAGCGUGAGGGGGACAGACGAGGCUGAGCGGCGCGCCCUAGGCAUGCUGCGCCUAGGGUUUUCUGCUGCAAACAUUUGUUUUUUUUAUUUGGGCUAGGGUUUCUGCUGUUGGGCUAGGUAGUGGGUUGGUUUGUUAUUUUGUAAUUGGACUGUUGUUUAUUGUUUUAAUAUUCGGGCCUGGGCAUAAAAUUGGGCCUUACAGCUGCCCCUCUUUGCUUGUUAUCGUGUAACGAGAACAGAGCAAAGACUAAGAAAGGCCAAUUUUGCUCGGGCUCGUCGAGUUUUGACUUCUUUUGGUGCUUCCUUUCUUCAAGUACCCUCAUUCUAGUCCACUGCGUCUUAUGAUUCUUCGAUCUGCUCUACUGCAACUUUAGAUACGCCUUGUAGCUUCAAUCUACUCUGCUACAAUUCCAUGGGGAUGAGAUUUGUGUUUUUCUUCGUCCGCUCAAUUACUGCUUAGGGAGACAAGAUUUGUGCUCUUCACUCUAUUCCACUGUUGAAUGUAGGGAGAUAGAGUUAUUGGCUUCAAUGUACUCUACUGUAGUCAGGGAGGAAAAAUCUGCCAUCGUCGAUCGGCUUUCUUCGAUCUACUUCACCACCAGUAUGGGAAGACAAGAUCUGCAUCGUCGAUCCACUUCCUACCAAUAUAGGAAGAUAGGAUCUGAUAUCUUCGAUCUACUUCACGCCAAUACAUGAAGACAAGAUCUGCUUUCUUCGAUCUACUUCACCACCAAUAUGGGAAGACAAGAUCUGCAUCUUCGAUCCACUUCACGCUAAUGCAUGAAGACAAGAUCUGCUUUCUUCGAUCUACUUCGCCACCAAUAUGGGAAGACAAGAUCUGCUUUCUUCGAUCUACUUCGCCACCAAUAUGGGAAGACAAGAUCUGCAUCUUCGAUCCACUUCCUACCAAUAUAGGAAAAUAGGAUCUGAUAUCUUCGAUCUACUUCACGCCAAUACAUGAAGACAAGAUCUGCUUUCUUCGAUCUACUUCGCCACCAAUAUGGGAAGACAAGAUCUGCAUCUUCGAUCCACUUCCUACCAAUAUAGGAAGAUAGGAUCUGAUAUCUUCGAUCUACUUCACGCCAAUACAUGAAGACAAGAUCUGCUUUCUUCGAUCUAC